UCCAUGUGCAAACCACGUUGGUCUCCUCUGCCUAUAAUGAACCCUUCCAAGACAAGGAAUGGAUUUUCAUUAUGCAGGAAGGAGGGGUCACAUUCUGAAAAUGAGGGUUGUGGCUCGAAACGAGCCCUAAAUUCAUGCCCUCUUCCCAAAACCAGGGCUGGGCCAGCACUUAGCACAAAGCCAUGCCAAGAGUGAUUGCAAAUAACCGUCCUUGAGCAAGAGAAAUCCAGCAGCUAAGGUAAUCCUUGUUUUCCAGCUGGGAGCAGGCAUGAAGGAGAAGGAGGUAGGGCUGGGAAACUCUUAAAGAUAUUUUUUUUUCCUUUUCUUUUUUAAAGAUCUCCAAGAAGAAGAAGAAGAAGAGGAAGAAGAAGAAGAAGAAGAAGAAGGGAAAAUUGAAAAACUGAAGACUUGUUGCUCUCACUGCCAUGUGGAUGUAGGGUGACUCUGAUGUCUCCUGGUGGGGCUGAUGCUCAGAAUCCACAGCCAAGUGUUGAGCCAGCAGGAUGGGAUGGAUAACCAUUGCUGGGCACAGGUGACACCGAGGACAAGGCAUCUGAGCAACACUCCCAAGGUCUCCAAGCAGGAUGGUGGCAGCUGGAUUUGGGAUCAGCCCCUGCAUCAGGCAACACAGAUUUCCAACAAGGAUUUCCAGGCAGGUUGGAUGCUCUUGGCAGGUUGGAGUUGGAGGCUAUGCUGCAGUCCCUGGGGUGUCCUUCCUUCUCUGGUGCCACAGCCCUUUGCAGCCACAGUGUCCACAGCAAGAAGGGUGGGCUGCUGCUCCUCCAGCUCAGAACCACCUUCAGCAAAAAAUGUUACACCUGGGAGAUCCCUCGGUGAUGCUGGGUUCCCUUUGCUGCCCAUUUACUUGUGCCUCUUUCCAGA
rnacentral:lncRNA from 12 species